rnacentral:pre_miRNA from 1 species
AGGGGGAGUCCGGAUCCUGGGCUGUGUCCCGGCGCCCUGUGCUCCUGCACUGUUGGAUUCGCGCUCCCGGCCGUGCAGCCCCCU